GCCAGAGAUGGAAGCAAUGUCGUCAGUGAAUGGUGUAUAGCUGUCGGUGCUCCAUUUUUGCUUUGUUUCGUCGCCACCAUUCCGUUGUUUGUCUCAAGAAGUUGGUUCGAAGAGGAGGUGUUUAUGCGGUAUGACUGCCCACUACUUUACAGCUUACACUCCUUGCAAUGCUGGUCGGAGAUUCUACAAAUGUCCUAAACCUGAUAAAAAUUCGUGUUGUUAUUUCGAAUGGGUUGAUGAAGUAUUAUCGGACAGAGUUCUGACUGUUAUUUGCAAGUUGAAGUCGCAAUUGGAUGCAGCUAAGGUUGAAAUUAAAAGAAAAAUUGAAGCAAUGGAGGCUAUAAUUGAAGUUGGAGAGACCGAAACAAGUAUGUUGGCGUCGAUGUUGGAUGCGACUUAUCUCAAAAGGGACUUAUUGAAGACUAAAGUUGAAGAAAUGGAGGCUACAAAUCAACUGGAAAGGACCAAUUCCAAGAAAAUGAACUUAGUUAUUUUGAUAUCAUGGGUCCUAUUUGGUACCUUAGUUGCAGCUUGUUUGAUGAAUUAAAUGAUAUCUAGUGUUGUGGUCUUUUGUGUUAUGAAGUUAAGUUAGGUUGGGAUAUUUAGAGCAAUGUAUUGUAUGUUAUUUUGUUGGGUAAAAGAUGAAAUUAAAUGUCCUUGCACCACCUAUCUUCACUGCUAAAAUAGUGUGUUUUGAACCGACAAUUGUCUGUUUUGGAGUAAAAUUUGAGAACAAAUCAAAAGAU